CCUACGGGUGGCAGCAGUGAGGAAUAUUGGUCAAUGGGAGAGAUCCUGAACCAGCCAAGCCGCGUGAGGGAAGACGGCCCUAUGGGUUGUAAACCUCUUUUGUCGGAGAACAAAACCCUGCACGUGUCCCGGUCUACGUGUAUCCGACGAAAAAGCAUCCGCAAACUCCGUGCCCGCAGCCGCCGUAAUACGGAGGAUGCGAGCGUUAUCCGGAUUUAGUGGGUUUAAAGGGUGCGUAGGCGGUCCUUUAAGUCAGCGGUAAAAUUGCGGGGCUAAACCCCGUCGAGCCGUUGAAACUGGCAGACUUGAGUUGGCGAGAAGUACGCGGAAUGCGCGGUGUAGCGGUGAAAUGCAUAGAUAGCGCGCAGAACUCCGAUUGCGAAGGCAGCGUACCGGCGCCAGACUGACGCUGAGGCACGAAAGCGUGGGGAUCGAACAGGAUUAGAUACCCGUGUAGUC
rnacentral:rRNA from 1 species